GAUGAACGCUGGCGGCGUGCCUAAUACAUGCAAGUCGAGCGAACAGACGAGGAGCUUGCUCCUCUGACGUUAGCGGCGGACGUGUGUGUAACACGUGGAUAACCUACCUAUAAGUCUGGGAUCACUUCGGGAAACCGGAGCUAAUACCGGAUAAUAUCUUGAACCGCAUGGUUGAAUAGUGAAAGACGGUUUUGCUGUCACUUAUAGAUGGAUCCGCGCCGCAUUAGCUAGUUGGUACGGUAACGGCUUACCAAGGCGACGAUGCGUAGCCGACCUGCGAGGGUGAUCGGCCACACGAGAACUGAGACACGGUCCAGACGCCUACGGGAGGCAGCAGUAGGGAAUCUGCCGCAAUGGGCGAAAGCCUGACGGAGCAACGCCGCGUGAGUGAUGAAGGUCUUCGGAUCGUAAAACUCUGUUAUGAGGGAAGAACAAAUGUGUAAGUAACUAUGCACGUCUUGACGGUACCUAAUCAGAAAGCAACGGCUAACUACGUG
rnacentral:rRNA from 1 species